CGAAGGAUAGAGUGAAGCUUUGUGAUACGGAUCCUCGGGCCAUUUUCACUGCUUUAGGUGACAGACCUGAGAGAAGAAGAACAGAGUGAGCGAUGUGCACCUGAAUUCCUGUAAGCUCAGAACAAAGCCUGUCUAUUAGAGGAAGCCAUGUUCGCCCCCACCCUCCAUGACUUGUCGCCAUCUUUCAAAGCCUCCCAGCCUCUCACGUGGGGUCAUCAAAGACAGCUGUCUGCAAUCUCUCCCCUCCCCGCACCUCGAGGCAGCUUCUCAUAUGAAACAUUUGCUGAGCAACCGGCUAUCCCUGCGCGUCUCUGCUGCCCCCUAGUGGUCAGAAAGUGAAUGAAACAGAAAGGCUCCUUGCUACCUUCGUGGAUGGAGGUUCCAUUCGCCAGAUUUCUUGAGGGGAGAUUGUAAAUGGAGUAGGGAAACAGCGGGUGGGAUGUGUCUAACCAUAAUUUUAUUUUGACCAUUGGAAUAAACUUAUCUAUUUUAAAA
rnacentral:lncRNA from 1 species